UCCCUAUGGGGUGCAGCAGUCGCGAAACCUUUGCAAUACACGAAAGUGUGACAAGGCUAUCCCGAGUGCCAUCCGCUGAGGAAGGCUUUUACCCAGUAUAAAUAGCUGGGAGAAUAAGGAGAGGGCAAGUCUGGUGUCAGCCGCCGCGGUAAUACCAGCUCUCCGAGUAGUGAGGAUGUUUAUUGGGCCUAAAGCAUCCGUAGCUUGCUAAGCAAGUCCCCUGUUAAACCCACUGAUUCAAUCAGUGGAUUGCGGGGGAUACUGUUUGGCUAGGGGACGGGAGAGGCCGACGGUAUUUCCGGGGUAGGGGUGAAAUCCUAUAAUCCCGGGAGGACCACCAGUGGCGAAGGCUGUCGGCUAGAACGCGCCCGACGGUGAGGGAUGAAAGCUGGGGGAGCGAACCGGAUUAGAUACCCGGGUAGUCCCAGCUGUAAACGAUGCAGGCUAGGUGUUUGGGCGGCCACGAGCCGCCCUAGUGCCGCAGGGAAGCUGUUAAGCCUGCCGCCUGGGGAGUACGGCCGCAAGGCUGAAACUUAAAGGAAUUGGCGGGGGAGCACCACAAGGGGUGAAGCUUGCGGUUUAAUUGGAUUCAACGCCGGAA
rnacentral:rRNA from 1 species